rnacentral:sRNA from 1 species
AUUUAAAGCUGGGAGGUUCUGCCACCAAGCACGGCCUUCCCACUGGGAACACAAACUCGCUGGCGGGAAGAGCCCGGAAAGAAACCUGUGGAUCUCCCUUCGAGAUCAUCCAAAGAGAAGAAAGGUAAGUAGAGCUUUGCAUUUACAUUUUGAAAAAUUACAAAGAUGAGCUCAUUUUUUUCCUGAGAGCAAUAACUAUUUGGCAAUGCACAGCCCUGGCAAAAGGCCGUCGAAUGUGUUUGAAGGUGUCUGUUGUUGUUUUUGUUCAGGACGCUUGCGUUUUCUAUUUCAGGUGACCUCACAUUCGUGCCCCUUAGCAGCACUCUGCAGAAAUGCCUCCUCAGCUGCAAAACGGCCUGAACCUCUCGGCCAAAGUUGUCCAGGGAAGCCUGGACAGCCUGCCCCAGGCAGUGAGGGAGUUUCUCGAGAAUAACGCUGAGCUGUGUCAGCCUGAUCACAUCCACAUCUGUGACGGCUCUGAGGAGGAGAAUGGGCGGCUUCUGGGCCAGAUGGAGGAAGAGGGCAUCCUCAGGCGGCUGAAGAAGUAUGACAACUGGUAAGCUUGGCCCCCGCUGCCUGUCCCAGCACCCUGCAGGCAGGGCUCCCCUGCGUCUCCUGGGAUUUGGUGGAGAAAGGUGAAUGAAGGCCUUUGGGUAGUUUCAGACUCUUGAGAAGAUGAAUGCAAUGGUCAGAACCAUACAGACUUGAAUUUUGUGACAUUAGUGGGCCAGCCCAAGCUUUAAAUGAGGUGGUGUGCACAAAAGCUCUGCCAACUAGAUUCUUGAUUAAAAAAAAGACAGCCCCUCUCCUACAGACCAGCUCCUAGUUGAGUAAAUGUCCACCUGGCCAUGUCUUAGACGGUCUGUGUGUUCACACUGAUGGACUGUUGUUAGCGUGCUCAGCACUCUGCUAGGCAUGGAAAGCCACGGUACUGAAGGAGAUGGUUCGCUGCCCGUGGUGCUUGGCUGAAAGGAAGCCUGUGAUUUUUGCAGCUGGUUGGCUCUCACUGACCCCAGGGAUGUGGCCAGGAUCGAAAGCAAGACGGUUAUCGUCACCCAAGAGCAAAGAGACACAGUGCCCAUCCCCAAAACAGGCCUCAGCCAGCUCGGUCGCUGGAUGUCAGAGGAGGAUUUUGAGAAAGCGUUCAAUUCCAGGUUCCCAGGGUGCAUGAAAGGUGAGCAGAACAUUGAUUGGAUUGGGCAAAACAGCAGAGAGCCUUUUCUUGUUUACAUCUAUCCUAAUGGUAAUUCAAACAAUAAUGGAAGCUCCCACCACCUCAGAUGUCUUUCAGUUCCAUACAUGAAGUUGGCAAUGUAUUGAAAAUGCACAUCCCUCUUCUGCUUUUACAGACUGUCUUAUACAAACGUGAAAACUAUUUCCAUGCAUAUGGGUUUUAAAUAGCUUGGUGGGACCCAAUUGCACAUUUAUGAAAACUCUUUAAUUUCAGCAGGCGUUCACUUUCCAGUGGCCUCUUCUAACCCAGGGGGCUGGUGACCAGCAGGGUGUGGUGGUGUUAGUGGAACACCACGAAAAUGGGUCUACCUGGGAAAAAAAUGCUGGUCGUGUGCGAAGUCCAAGGUCAUUUCUCACCAGUGCCCACCCAUCGCACCCUGUAGGUCGCACCAUGUACGUCAUCCCAUUCAGCAUGGGGCCGCUGGGCUCGCCUCUGUCGAAGAUCGGCAUCGAGCUGACAGAUUCACCCUAUGUGGUGGCCAGCAUGCGGAUCAUGACGCGGAUGGGCACGCCGGUCCUGGAAGCACUGGGCGAUGGGGAGUUUGUCAAAUGCCUCCAUUCUGUGGGGUGCCCUCUGCCUUUACAAAGUAAGUGUAUUAUUUCAGAAUCAAAAGUCAAAAUAAAAAAGAAAGCUGAACAGCAAAUCCCAGUCGGUGCCUCGGGGACCCCCAAGCAGGGCCCUGGCGCACUGACUUGGGAGGGGUCCUUGUUCACAGAGCCUUUGGUCAACAACUGGCCCUGCAACCCGGAGCUGACGCUCAUCGCCCACCUGCCUGACCGCAGAGAGAUCAUCUCCUUUGGCAGUGGGUACGGCGGGAACUCGCUGCUCGGGAAGAAGUGCUUUGCUCUCAGGAUGGCCAGCCGGCUGGCCAAGGAGGAAGGGUGGCUGGCAGAGCACAUGCUGGUGAGCCUGCAGGAAGCCCUGAUGGGCAGAUGAGAGGCCUGGGGGGUGGCAGAAACAAACAGCAUUACAGUUCCCACCCGUCAGCACACCUCUCUGAGCGUGCAGGUUCCCGGACAGAUCGGGAAACCCCACCAGUAAUGAUUAGUUCACACAUAUACGUCGCUUUUGAAGGCCCCCAAACACCAGGGGACCAUAGAGAUCCUUUGGACUUCAUGAUUCUGGGAAUGUUUGUUUGCACUGAUACCUGAAGAAAUAGAUCUUGAGGGCCUACAUUCCAACCUCUGGGCUGAAGUACCAACCUCGGGGAGAAGGAAACAAAGAUCACAAUAAAGAAUCUUGUCCCCAACAGAUUCUGGGUAUAACCAACCCUGAGGGUGAGAAGAAGUACCUGGCGGCCGCAUUUCCCAGCGCCUGCGGGAAGACCAACCUGGCCAUGAUGAACCCCAGCCUCCCCGGGUGGAAGGUUGAGUGCGUCGGGGAUGACAUUGCCUGGAUGAAGUUUGAUGCACAAGGUGACUCUUUUAGACCCAACUCUUGGUAACGAUUGGACUCAAGUGAAUCGUUGGCCUUCAAAACAUGUCACAUUCUCCUCAAUCCAGUGUUUGGAUUUUUAAACUCUGUUAGUCCAGAGUUGGCCAAGCCUUAGAAAUAUGUAUCCUGUAAGAAUUCUUCAAUUUAAUAUUCAAUCUGGAUUGGAACUGGGCCAUAUGUUGCUGUUUGUUUACAUACAUACAUUUGUUUAAAUGGUAUUGGUGGAAAAUUGUGGAGGAAGCAAGAGUUGUAAAUGUCUCAAAGUUGCGUAUGAUGCUUGGAUGAAAAGAGAUAAAUGUAUAUUCUAGGGAGGGAAAAAAGAUUUGAGAAGUUGGCAUAGAAAUUAGUCCGGCAAUAUAUAAGAGUAUAUGUUCUGCUUUGCCUGGCACUCACUACUGCUUCUCUGGUUUAAAACUCUCCAGGUCAUUUAAGGGCUAUCAACCCAGAAAAUGGCUUUUUCGGUGUCGCUCCUGGGACUUCAGUGAAGACCAACCCCAAUGCCAUCAAGACCAUCCAGAAGAACACCAUCUUUACCAAUGUGGCCGAGACCAGCGACGGGGGCGUUUACUGGGAAGGCAUUGAUGAGCCGCUAGCUUCAGGCGUCACCAUCACGUCCUGGAAGAAUAAGGAGUGGAGCCCAGAGGAUGGUGUGUCCCCACCAGAGGCCUUGGUGUGCCGGGCUGCAGGGACUGCCUGUUUGAGCCAGGCACUCACGAGCCUUUCUCUGUCUUAUAGGGGAACCUUGUGCCCACCCCAACUCGAGGUUCUGCACCCCUGCCAGCCAGUGCCCCAUCAUUGAUGCUGCCUGGGAGUCUCCGGAAGGUGUUCCCAUUGAAGGCAUUAUCUUUGGAGGCCGUAGACCUGCUGGUGAGGCUCUCCUUCUUUUAGGCUGGGAACAUGGGUGUGCUGGGUACUGAAGGGCAUCUGUGAAAUCUCUCCUUUUCCAUGACCUUGUCAGAGGGUGCCCAGGGACUUCCUUUCUUGAGCUUCCUUCCCAAAGAGCCAGAAUAAUUGGCAAGUUCAAAUGUAGAACCAACCCUUCUGGUCACCUGGAACCUUUCUGAAUCCUUGAUCUAUUGUAGCUUGAUCAAAUUUUACUUUUUACUUUGUGGCCUCAGUCAUGUAACUUUGAGUUAGCAGUUUUCUGCAAUUUAGCUUGGUAAAUGCAAAACUAGCUCGAUUACAAAGUUAUUGUCUUGCCGUGUCUUUCCAUGUUGUGAAUAACACCACUGGUUGUGGAGUCUGAAUUUCAAAGCCUCUAAUGAACAUUUCUCUUUUUUUUUCCUGCUAAAGGUGUCCCUCUAGUCUAUGAAGCUCUCAGCUGGCAACAUGGAGUCUUUGUGGGGGCGGCCAUGAGAUCAGAGGCCACAGCGGCUGCAGAACAUAAAGGCAAAAUAAUCAUGCAUGACCCCUUUGCCAUGCGGCCCUUCUUUGGCUACAACUUCGGCAAAUACCUGGCCCACUGGCUUAGCAUGGCCCAGCACCCAGCAGCCAAACUGCCCAAGAUCUUCCAUGUCAACUGGUUCCGGAAGGACAAGGAAGGCAAAUUCCUUUGGCCAGGCUUUGGAGAGAACUCCAGGGUGCUGGAGUGGAUGUUCAACCGGAUUGAUGGAAAAGCCAGCGCCAAGCUCACGCCCAUAGGCUACAUCCCCAAGGAGGAUGCCCUGAACCUGAAAGGCCUGGGGCACAUCAACAUGAUGGAGCUUUUCAGCAUCUCCAAGGAAUUCUGGGAGAAGGAGGUGGAAGACAUCGAGAAGUAUCUGGAGGAUCAGGUCAAUGCCGACCUCCCCUGUGAAAUCGAGAGAGAGAUCCUUGCCUUGAAACAAAGAAUAAGCCAGAUGUAAUCAGGGCCUGAGUGCUUUACCUUUAAAAUCAUCCCCUUUCCCAUCCAUAAGGUGCAGUAGGAGCAAGAGAGGGCAAGUGUUCCCAAAUUGACGCCACCAUAAUAAUCAUCACCACACCGUGAGCAGAUCUGAAAGGCACACUUUGAUUUUUUUAAGGAUAAGAACCACAGAACACUGGGUAGUAGCUAAUGAAAUUGAGAAGGGAAAUCUUAGCAUGCCUCCAAAAAUUCACAUCCAAUGCAUAGUUUGUUCAAAUUUAAGGUUACUCAGGCAUUGAUCUUUUCAGUGUUUUUUCACUUUAGCUAUGUGGAUUAGCUAGAAUGCACACCAAAAAAAUACUUGAGCUGUAUAUAUAUGUGUGUGUGUGUGUGUGUGUGUGCAUGUAUGUGCACAUGUGUCUGUGUGGUAUAUUUGUGUAUGUGUAUUUGUAUGUACUGUUAUUGAAAAUAUAUUUAAUACCUUUGGAAAAAUCUUGGGCGAGAUGACCUACUAGUUUUCCUUGAAAAAAAGUUGCUUUGUUAUUAAUAUUGUGCUUAAAUUAUUUUUAUA